CAGGUGUCUGUCAAUAACAGUUGACCAAUCAGGAAAGAUUAAGGUUUGACGGGGCGGGACCUUGAGUCCGAUAGGGGAAGAGCGAUACGUGGGGAAACGGAAAGGAAGAAUGGCGGCGCUUCGCUAAAGAUUUUCAUAGUGGCUUUGAAGAGACGUCACUCAAGCUGUAGCAACGGAAGCGCUCAGGAAGCUGCCUCUGCUAACCCUGAGGCCCAAGUUCAUUCCAGCCGUGGGCAGAGAACCAGAACCAGAACUUUAAAGUUCACCUACCUGGACAUAAGGGUUUGAAACUGACUGGACAUCACGGAUGAGAUCUCCUGAGGCAACUAGGACAAACUUUGUCUUCCCGCCAUCUUGGUGCUUCACAGCCGGGAUUUUCUCACAGGGAUUCGUGUGAAAACUGGUGGAAAAUGUGAGGCGAGGAGGAAAGAGCUGUGCUGAACAUCAGAGGGUGUUCACCGCCCUGACGGACAAGGACGGCUGGACGUGCAAACAGCAGCGCAAGACGAGGCGUGGCGGAUAUCAGGGAGUCCCUCACAGGUUCUUAAUCAACUGUUCUUCAGUAAAAGUCCUGAGUUUUAAAAACUGUUUCCAGACACUUUAUUAAUGCUGCAGUAAAACUGAUGGAUGGUCGCCGUUUAAAAGUGUCACAUUCCUCUCCGUCAAGGUUUUAAACCAACUAAUAUCUGAAUUUACCAAGAACUUCUGGGUCGUCCAGCAGAUUUUAACGAGCACAACUGAGCAGCGUGUUAGCUGCUGGUGGAUGAUGGGAGGGAGGUUCUGCUGUUUUCAUCUAAUCACUUCAAGUAAUAAAGACCUCAUCCUCCGCAGAACGCAAAUAAAUCCAAACUGAGCAUUCAUUAGU